rnacentral:rRNA from 1 species
CCUACGGGAGGCAGCAGUGGGGAAUAUUGGACAAUGGGCGAAAGCCUGAUCCAGCAAUGCCGCGUGAGUGAUGAAGGCCUUAGGGUUGUAAAGCUCUUUUACCAGGGAUGAUAAUGACAGUACCUGGAGAAUAAGCUCCGGCUAACUCCGUGCCAGCAGCCGCGGUAAUACGGAGGGAGCUAGCGUUGUUCGGAAUUACUGGGCGUAAAGCGUACGUAGGCGGUUAUUCAAGUCAGAGGUGAAAGCCCGGGGCUCAACCCCGGAACUGCCUUUGAAACUAGAUAGCUAGAAUCUUGGAGAGGUUAGUGGAAUUCCGAGUGUAGAGGUGAAAUUCGUAGAUAUUCGGAAGAACACCAGUGGCGAAGGCGACUAACUGGACAAGUAUUGACGCUGAGGUACGAAAGCGUGGGGAGCAAACAGGAUUAGAUACCCUGGUAGUCCACGCCGUAAACGAUGAUAACUAGUUNUUCGGGCACUUGGUGCCUGAGUGGNGCNGCUACGCAUAAGUUAUCCGUCCGUCGGGUAGGUACGGUCGCGAGAGUUAAACGUUAAAACGUAAAGUUAGACGGCGUGUAAGUACGUGCGAGCGACGACGAGGGAGGAGG